CCUUUUCCUGUUUUGGGUUAUGGUUUAGUAUAAGAAGACACAUGCGAAGAAGCAUUACGUAACCAAAUCGGGGAAGAUGGGAAGGAUGGAUGAAAUAUGAUCGGAGGAUGGCUGGGGGGGGGGGGUGUUGGCGGAUAUCGUUUCCUGUGCUAAUGGCUCGUGAACACAUCUAAAGAAGUGUGCAGAUGGGAUUAAAAAGA
ensembl:ncRNA F38B6.13 ncRNA